rnacentral:rRNA from 1 species
UACGGAGGGGACUAGCGUUGUUCGGAAUUACUGGGCGUAAAGCGCACGUAGGCGGAUUUGUUAGUCAGGGGUGAAAUCCCGGGGCUCAACCUCGGAACUGCCUUUGAUACUGCAAGUCUCGAGUCCGAUAGAGGUGGGUGGAAUUCCUAGUGUAGAGGUGAAAUUCGUAGAUAUUAGGAAGAACACCGGUGGCGAAGGCGGCCCACUGGAUCGGUACUGACGCUGAGGUGCGAAAGCGUGGGGAGCAAACAGG